AACAAACGCUGGCGGCGUGCCUAACACAUGCAAGUCGAACGCGAAAAUCGGCUUCGGCCGAUGAGUAAAGUGGCGCACGGGUGAGUAACGCGUGGAUAAUCUACCCUUCAGUUGGGAAUAACUUAUCGAAAGGUGAGCUAAUACCGAAUAAAACUGCCUGACCACGGUCGGGUAGUCAAAGAUAGCCUCUGCUUGCAAGCUUUCGCUGAAUGAUGAGUCCGCGUACCAUUAGCUAGUUGGUGGGGUAAUGGCCUACCAAGGCGACGAUGGUUAGCUGGUCUGAGAGGAUGAUCAGCCACACUGGAACUGAGACACGGUCCAGACUCCUACGGGAGGCAGCAGUGAGGAAUCUUGCGCAAUGGGGGAAACCCUGACGCAGCAACGCCGCGUGAGUGAGGAAGGUCUUCGGAUCGUAAAGCUCUGUCGGGUGGAAAGAAAUGUAUGGGGUUAAUAGCCUUCAUACUUGACGGUACCACCAAAGGAAGCACCGGCUAACU
rnacentral:rRNA from 1 species